ACCUGUCUGUGCCAAAUCAACAUACCCUCAUAAAAAGGAACCUUAAAUUCGAGAUGAAGAGGGACAAAGACUAGGAGAGAAGUAUAGGUUCAAGUAAAGAGUUCUUCAAAGAAGGUGGAUAAGGGUACAUAAAAAAUGGAAGGAUUGACCAGCCUGUAUCUGUCCUCCUCUAAUUGCUUCCUACACCAGAAAGAUAAGGUGAUGAACUUGGAUCUUUGGCAGUAUCUAGCUGAUAAACAGAAACAUCAGGAUUAGAAGAGACCUUCAAGAUCAUCCCAUCCACAGUGAACCCAGUACUCCAAUAAUUACCCCUAAACUGUGUCACAUCCAG
rnacentral:lncRNA from 1 species